rfam:Lupinus angustifolius cultivar Tanjil contig_39763, whole genome shotgun sequence.
GCCGAGUUGGAUAACACCAGCUUGUGACCCAAGUGGGGGCAUUAAGGUGAUGGAACGGUUCCAUGGCUUGCUGGGUUGGACUGUUGAGUGCAAUAUGUUUGGCUUGCCCACUCCAAGUUGAGAGUUGAUUCAUGUGACUUGAGCUAAGGCCCAGGUCUCAUGGGUCCUAGACUAGAGGGCACAGCGUGAGGCUGGAUUCACAGAGCAGCGAUAACCUCUGGCCCUCAACAGUGGAGGGAUAACAGGUUGCAGCACUAUCAGUCCAUUAUGACCUGGUGAGCCUGGCUGCUUGAACCAUCAUUUUU